GUACUCUCACACUCCCGAUCGUUUGGUUGGGAGCGGUGGACUUGGGUGUUGCUGCUUGACCGUGGCUCACCUUAAAUGCAGUAGUGCAACUCUCGGUUGGACAUAGUACGGCGUGAUAAGUGUCUUCGCCGGCACCUCCUCACAGAGGGUGGCCGAUCGGGAGCUCUGUGCUUCCAACCGUCUUCGGACAACGACUGACA
rnacentral:misc_RNA from 1 species